rnacentral:rRNA from 1 species
GAAUUCGCCCUUAGAGUUUGAUCCUGGCUCAGGACGAACGCUGGCGGCGCGCCUAACACAUGCAAGUCGAACGAGCGAGAGAGAGCUUGCUCUCUCGAGCGAGUGGCGAACGGGUGAGUAACGCGUGAGGAACCUGCCUCAAAGAGGGGGACAACAGUUGGAAACGACUGCUAAUACCGCAUAAGCCCACGACCCGGCAUCGGAUAGAGGGAAAAGGAGCAAUCCGCUUUGAGAUGGCCUCGCGUCCGAUUAGCUAGUUGGUGAGGUAACGGCCCACCAAGGCGACGAUCGGUAGCCGGACUGAGAGGUUGAACGGCCACAUUGGGACUGAGACACGGCCCAGACUCCUACGGGAGGCAGCAGUGGGGAAUAUUGCACAAUGGGGGAAACCCUGAUGCAGCGACGCCGCGUGGAGGAAGAAGGUCUUCGGAUUGUAAACUCCUGUUGUUGAGGAAGAUAAUGACGGUACUCAACAAGGAAGUGACGGCUAACUACGUGCCAGCAGCCGCGGUAAAACGUAGGUCACAAGCGUUGUCCGGAAUUACUGGGUGUAAAGGGAGCGCAGGCGGGAAGACAAGUUGGAAGUGAAAUCCAUGGGCUCAACCCAUGAACUGCUUUCAAAACUGUUUUUCUUGAGUAGUGCAGAGGUAGGCGGAAUUCCCGGUGUAGCGGUGGAAUGCGUAGAUAUCGGGAGGAACACCAGUGGCGAAGGCGGCCUACUGGGCACCAACUGACGCUGAGGCUCGAAAGUGUGGGUAGCAAACAGGAUUAGAUACCCUGGUAGUCCACACCGUAAACGAUGAUUACUAGGUGUUGGAGGAUUGACCCCUUCAGUGCCGCAGUUAACACAAUAAGUAAUCCACCUGGGGAGUACGACCGCAAGGUUGAAACUCAAAGGAAUUGACGGGGGCCCGCACAAGCAGUGGAGUAUGUGGUUUAAUUCGACGCAACGCGAAGAACCUUACCAAGUCUUGACAUCCUGCGACGGUGCUGGAAACAGUAUUUUCUUUCGGGACGCAGAGACAGGUGGUGCAUGGUUGUCGUCAGCUCGUGUCGUGAGAUGUUGGGUUAAGUCCCGCAACGAGCGCAACCCUUAUCUUUAGUAGCCAGCGGUCAGGCCGGGCACUCUAGAGAGACUGCCAGGGAUAACCUGGAGGAAGGCGGGGAUGACGUCAAAUCAUCAUGCCCCUUAUGACUUGGGCUACACACGUGCUACAAUGGCGUAAACAAAGGGAAGCAAAGCUGUGAAGCCGAGCAAAUCUCAAAAAUAACGUCUCAGUUCGGACUGUAGUCUGCAACCCGACUACACGAAGCUGGAAUCGCUAGUAAUCGCAGAUCAGAAUGCUGCGGUGAAUACGUUCCCGGGUCUUGCACACACCGCCCGUCA